AAAUAUCCUAGUAAGAAACCCCCACAUCCUUCUUUUUAUACUUUUAUCCUUUAGGUGUAUGGGUUUUUCUUGCUUUCAUUUUCUUUUUGAAAUUCCCAGCAGUGUGAACACGCUGAGCCAGCACCUCGACAAGAUCACAGCAGAGCAGAGGGGUCAUGAAUAUAAAGAAGAGAUUGCAACUUCUUCUCCAAAACAUUGUACUUGGCCGUUGUCAGUUUAUGAAGUACCUGAAGUGGAAAAAAAGCGUUUCAUAGCUUGAACAUUUCCUUGGAAAAGCAAAGCAGAAAACAGACACAACAUCAAUAUGUACUGUCAAAGCUCUCAUCUCAAGAAGCAAAAUACAAUAAAAGAUUUCCCCAAAUGCCA
rnacentral:lncRNA from 1 species